AGCGAACGCUGGCGGCAGGCCUAACACAUGCAAGUCGAACGAAGCCUUCGGACUUAGUGGCGGACGGGUGAGUAACACGCGGGAACGUGCCUUUAGGUUCGGAAUAACCCAGGGAAACUUGUGCUAAUACCGAAUGUGCCCUUCGGGGGAAAGAUUUAUCGCCUUUAGAGCGGCCCGCGUCUAUUAGCUAGUUGGUGAGGUAAAGGCUCACCAAGGCUACGAUCAGUAGCUGGUCUGAGAGGAUGACCAGCCACAUUGGGACUGAGACACGGCCCAAACUCCUACGGGAGGCAGCAGUGGGGAAUCUUGCACAAUGGGCGAAAGCCUGACGCAGCCAUGCCGCGUGGAUGAUGAAGGUCUUAGGAUUGUAAAAUCCUUUCCCCGGUGAAGAUAAUGACUGUAGCCGGAGAAGAAGCCCCGGCUAACUUCGUGCCAGCCGCCGCUGUAAUAC
rnacentral:rRNA from 1 species